UGUAUCCAUUAUUUCCACCACAUGAAAAAUAAUAAACCAAGUACCACAUUUGACAGAUUUCAGAACUGAUGAGACAAAUAAAUACACUCUCCAUAUUGCUCACUCAUCUUUUCUCACCCCACCCCACCCCAAAAAAAAAGUGCUCUUCUCUCGUAAACUUGUUCAAGGACAAAUGUAUCAUCUCAUUAAUGACCUGAUUCCCGUGGAUCAAAAAGGUGCUGAUGCUCAGUUCCUGGAUCGCACCUAGAUUCUUAGAUUAUCAAUAGUACAGUAGCAGCGGUGAGUCCUCAUCAUCUGGGGACAGAUUAUACUACUUCAUGUCCUUAUCUCAGUAGUUAGUAGAGUUAGUUGGGGCCUAUCCCAUCAACUCACAGUAUUCAGUUUAGAGGC